GAUGAACGCUGGCGGCGUGCCUAAUACAUGCAAGUCGAGCGAACAGAUGAGGAGCUUGCUCCUCUGACGUUAGCGGCGGACGGGUGAGUAACACGUGGAUAACCUACUUCUAAGACUGGGAUAACUUCGGGAAACCGGAGCUAAUAACGGAUAAUAUAUUGAACCGCAUGGUUCAAUAGUGAAAGACGGUUUUGCUGUCACUUAUAGAUGGAUCCGCGCCGCAUUAGCUAGUUGGUAAGGUAACGGCUUACCAAGGCAACGAUGCGUAGCUGACCUGAGAGGGUGAUCGGCCACACUGGAACUGAGACACGGUCCAGACUCCUACGGGAGGCAGCAGUAGGGAAUCUUCCGCAAUGGGCGCAAGCCUGACGCAGCAACGCCGCGUGAGUGAUGAAGGUCUUCGGGUCGUAAAACUCUGUUAUUAGGGAAGAACAAAUGUGGAAGUAACUAUGCACGUCUUGACGGUACCUAAUCAGAAAGCCACGGCUAACUACGUG
rnacentral:rRNA from 1 species